ensembl:rRNA 5S_rRNA 5S ribosomal RNA
GUCUACGGCCACGCCGCCUUCCUGAACGAGCCCGAUCCCGUCUGAUCUCGGAAGCUAAGCGGGGUCGGGCCUGGUUAGUACUUGGAUGGGAGACCACCUAGGAAGACCGGGUGGCGUAAAAA